CUUUGGGCUUGACUGCAACAGAACAUGCCAUUGUGAUAAAUGUGAUAACGAGAAUGGAUCGUGUGGAAUAUAUCCUUGUUUUAGUGGGUGGUUCGGCGAAUCCUGCUCAGAACAAUUUCAAAAAAGUCAGAACCAAACAAAAGAUAAGUCGAAUCAAAACGGAAAUACCACAGCUGUUGUUGUUGCUGUUGUCUCGUCAACUUUGCUGUUUGUUUCAAUUGUAGUGAAUUUGAUCCAGUGUUGGAGAAAGAAGUCAACACAGAGG